rnacentral:rRNA from 1 species
AACCGCGAAUGGCUCAUUAUAUCAGCUAUGGUUCGUUUGAUCGUACAUACUACAUGGAUAACUGUAGUAAUUCUAGAGCUAAUACAUGCAACUAUGCCCUGACCCGCGAGGGAACGGGUGCAUUUAUUAGAACAGAACCAACAACGGCCUUGUGCUGUUUGAUUCUGUGAUGACUCUGGAUAACUUCACUGAUCGCAGUCGGCCUUGUGUCGGCGACGGAUCUUUCAAAUGGCUGCCCUAUCAAUUGUCGAUGGUAGGUGAUUUGCCUACCAUGGUAAUAACGGGUAACGGGGAAUCAGGGUUCGAUUCCGGAGAGGGAGCCUGAGAAACGGCUACCACAUCCAAGGAAGGCAGCAGGCGCGCAAAUUACCCAAUCCCGGAACGGGGAGGUAGUGACGAAAAAUACGGAGGCGGGACUCUUAAUGGGCCUCCGACAUCCGAAUGAGUACACUUUAAAUCCUUUAACGAGGAUCAACUGGAGGGCAAGUCUGGUGCCAGCAGCCGCGGUAACUCCAGCUCCAGAAGCGUAUAUUAAAGUUGUUGCAGUUAAAAAGCUCGUAGUUGGAUCUGGAUUGCAUGGUCGCACGCUGUGGCUGAUCUGUAUCAUCUAUUCAUGGUGUUCGGAUUGCUUGGUGUCGUGGUCGUGUGAUCUUUCUGCCGUAUCUGUUUCGACAGUUUCGGUUGACUUCGGUCAACUGGCAUGCUCUCGGAUGUCUUUAACAGGGUGUCCGGAGCAAACGGCAUGUUUACUUUGAACAAAUUUGAGUGCUCAAAGCAG